GCAAAAGGGAUGUUUCGGAAGCAUUCUCUCAAUGUAACUGAUAUUCUACAUCCUGAUGGUUAAAACUUGCUUGUUAUCAUUUGGUUUAUAACUACAUCCUAAACCUAUUCAAUCUAUAUAUUAUUUUAUUUUGAAAAUUACAUUUAUAAUUUUGGAUCCCAUGCAAAUUGAAUGAUUGAGUAAAGAAAUAAAUUUUGACAUUCUUGGAAAACUUGCAAUCUAGCAAUAAUUUGUUUUCAUGGUAGAUUGGAAUAGAUGUUGCCACACAAAAGGUCUAGGGUUGGGAUUGAAUUGAUCCUAUAAGUGACCAUGUUUGUUACCUUUGGAUAUAUUAUUAUUAAUUAAUUUUUUUCCGUAAUGACAUUGUUUACUCUAGUUUCUUUUGGAAUAUGAGAGACACUAGAUGCAUAUGGAUUAGAAAAUUAUUAGAAAUUUCCUGUUACAACCAAGCAGACAACCAAAACAAGAUAGGUAACUGUCUAUGGAUGUUUGAAACAUUUUUUCAGUGAAUAGUGUCAAUGUGGUAAUUCAUUAACUGAUCAAUUAUACAGUAGAGAAUUAUUUGGUUGAAAAUGGGUUGCAUGUAUAAGAAUAAUGCGUAUGUAGUUUGAGCAGCUCAUUCAUGGCAAUUCUGCAUUUGAGAGAAAAAAAGGAAUUAUAAGACCAAUGGUAGGGUGUCUUGGUAACAAAAAUUGACCAAUGCACUGGGUGAACUGCUAAAGGCAAGUUUAAAGUUUAGGUGUGAACAUGGGUAGACUUACUGGUCGGAAAUUUUCUCUUUAAUUGGCGAGCAGAAGGGAAACAAAGUGUGUUAACUAAGUUUGGCCUGGAAAAACAAAAUAUUGAAAUGACUGAGGAUUCAUCAAAUAUUGCGAAGGCAUUUUCCCUUUCUUAGAUCCUUAUAUGAGGGGAUAUCAGUUUCAGGACAAUUUUCCAUUUCAAAUUUACUUGAGAUGCUUGGUCUUUGUAAUUAUCAUCAAUGGUUAUUAGUAUAUCUCUUGUAUACUUCCCAUGUACAUGGGUUGCAUGCCCCUGUUCUUUAAUGAAUCAUUUACUAUUUAAAAAAAAAAAAGGUUUUGAAAGGGAAAAUCAGGUGAUGAUGGAACUUCUUUUUGCAUCCCCCCACCCAACGAUGAGAAAAAAGAAAUUCCAAGGGCCUUCAUUGCUUGUUGUGUCUUUUGCUUUUAAGAAUGUGUUUUCAUCCUAUUUUAUUCUAAGGUACUUGACCUCUGUACUAUUACAUGGAUAGGAACACUGGCAAAUAGGAUGAGGUGGUUGUGUCAAUAACUGGGCGAAUGAAAAUGAUUGAUCCCCACUUGGUUUCAUUAUUUUUUUGGCGACAACAAAAGGUUAUAUUUGCAUGCUACAAUGGAGUUAGAAAAUAGAAAUUCCAGAGUAACAAAGGGAAGCAUUUAUUAGUUGAACAUCUUCAGACUCAACAUGUGUCAAUCCCUGCCGGAUUGCAAGUGCAAUAUACAUUUCCUGAGGUGAUAAAGGUAUGAAUUUGCAGCUUUUCUUCUACAAGCCUGACUUAUGGUGGAUGAACAGUAUGGGAAACAAUCCUUGUAAAAUGACCCAUUUAACUUGAAUGACGCAUUUUUUCCUUGUAAGAGCAAUUUGAGAGGGAAGUCAUGAGUUUAAAACCUAGGAUAUCCAUAUGUUAUCUUACCAAUAUAUAUAUAUA